AUGUCCUUAAAAGCCAGGUCUCAGUCGGACCUGCAGCAGACCGGGUCCUCGCUGGACGACGGCCUGAGCCGGUCCUUCUCCACCAGCAGCAGCAACCUCCACAAAGCAGGAGCGGACGAGGUCAAAGGUCAGUCCAGGAGCAUCAGGAGGCCGGUGAGGGCGGUGAGGCCGCUCAGCGCCGCCAGCGCCAGCGGCUCCUUCCUGCAGAUCAACCACCUGCAGGGAGAGCUGGUCCGAAAGAGGAAGGAAUGCGAAGAUCUGAGGAAGGAAAACAAGCACUUAUCAAAUGAGAUCCACAUGGAGAGGAUCACGAUGCGCACGGAGAACGAGCUCAUCAUGAGGAACCUCCGAAACCUGAACCAGGAGCUGCAGGCCCAAAUCAAAGAGGUACCGGCACAGGGCGCGCUGCUAAUCAGUGUCCCACACCAUAAAUCAGCCCCCACCACUAAAACUGCAGGGAGGCCCACACAUGCAAACACCAAGCGUUCCCCUCACAUCCUGGAUGCAGCUCACAUCAUCUGUUUAGAUGCUUCCUCAUAGUAACACGUGUGUUUAUGCCAAACGGCAGACGUGCUGCCGCUCAGAUUACACAUAGACACAAAGACGGGCCUCUAGGGUUUCUGAGCUCUCUCUCACCUGCGGCAGCUCAAGCAGAAGCUCUAUCAGAGCCAGCAGAGGGCGGCGCUGUGCUCCCGGGCUGCAGGUGAAGCCGAGGAGUCCAGGAACGAGGCGGAGAAGAGCCGGGUGCUGACGGAGGCGCGGGCCCUCGCGUGUCAGAGGGACAGGGAGGCGUCUGAGGCCGACAGACGGCACCUGAGCGAGGAGCUGCAGCGGCUCAAAGACCA
rnacentral:lncRNA from 1 species